CACACGACUCUCGGCAACGGAUAUCUCGGCUCUCGCAUCGAUGAAGAACGUAGCGAAAUGCGAUACCUGGUGUGAAUUGCAGAAUCCCGUGAACCAUCGAGUCUUUGAACGCAAGUUGCGCCCGAGGCCAUCCGGCCGAGGGCACGCCUGCCUGGGCGUCACGC
rnacentral:rRNA from 17 species